AGCAGUCGCCGCGGUAAUACAGAGGGUGCGAGCGUUAAUCGGAUUUACUGGGCGUAAAGCGUGCGUAGGCGGCUUGUUAAGUCGGAUGUGAAAUCCCUGAGCUUAACUUAGGAAUUGCAUUCGAUACUGGGAAGCUAGAGUAUGGGAGAGGAUGGUAGAAUUCCAGGUGUAGCGGUGAAAUGCGUAGAGAUCUGGAGGAAUACCGAUGGCGAAGGCAGCCAUCUGGCCUAAUACUGACGCUGAGGUACGAAAGCAUGGGGAGCAAACAGGAUUAGAUACCCGCGUAGUCCCUGUCUCUUAUAC
rnacentral:rRNA from 1 species